UCUAAGCACACGCCUUGAUACGGUGAAGCCGCGAAUAGCUCAUUACAACAGCCACCGUUUACUAGAAAAUAGUAAUCUUACUCGGAUAACUGUGGCAAUUUGAGAGCUAAUACGUGCAAAAAAGCUCCGCCCUUCGGGAACGAGCGCAUUUAUUAGAAUAAAAACCAAUCGGAUCUCGGUCCGUUGUUUGGUGAAUCUGAAUAACUUUGCCAAUCGCACGGUCCUAGUACCGGCGAUGUAUCUUUCAAGUGUCUGCCUUAUCAACUUUCGAUGGUAGGUUAUACGCCUACCAUGGUAUUAACGGGUAACGGAGAAUAAGGGUUCGACUCCGGAGAGGGAGCCUGAGAAACGGCUACCACAUCCAAGGAAGGCAGCAGGCGCGCAAAUUACCCACUUCCCGAACGGAGAGGUAGUGACGAAAAAUAACGAGACAGUCCUCUUCGAGGUCUGUCAUCGGAAUGGGUACAAUUUAAA
rnacentral:rRNA from 1 species